rnacentral:tRNA from 1 species
UCUAUCAAAGGAGAAUAGUUACCCCNNGCUGGUCUUAGGCACCACAACU